GGCCGAUUAGCUCAGUUGGGAGAGCACCUCCCUUACAAGGAGGGGGUCACUGGUUCGAGACCGGUAUCGCCCACCA
rnacentral:tRNA from 1 species